UAGCUCAGUUGGUAGAGCAUGGUGUUCAACGCCAGGGUUGUGGGUUCGAUUCCCAC
rfam:Salmo salar isolate Sally breed double haploid chromosome ssa09, whole genome shotgun sequence.